rnacentral:rRNA from 1 species
AUACGGAGGUUGCAAGCGUUAUCCGGAAUCAUUGGGUUUAAAGGGUCCGCAGGCGGACUAAUAAGUCAGUGGUGAAAUCCUCUCGCUUAACGAGAGAACUGCCAUUGAAACUGUUAGUCUUGAAUUCGGUCGAAGUAGGCGGAAUGUGUCAUGUAGCGGUGAAAUGCAUAGAUAUGACACAGAACACCGAUAGCGAAGGCAGCUUACUAGACCUGGAUUGACGCUCAUGGACGAAAGCGUGGGGAGCGAACAGGAUUAGAAACCCUUGUAGUCC